rnacentral:piRNA from 1 species
UGAAUCAGACAGGAGUGGUAAGGAUG